rnacentral:rRNA from 1 species
CUACGGGUGGCUGCAGUGGGGAAUCUUGCGCAAUGGGCGAAAGCCUGACGCAGCAACGCCGCGUGCGGGAUGAAGGCCUUCGGGCCGUAAACCGCUUUCAGCAGGAACGAAAAUGACGGUACCUGCAGAAGAAGGAGCGGCCAACUACGUGCCAGCAGCCGCGGUGACACGUAGGCUCCAAGCGUUGUCCGGAUUUAUUGGGCGUAAAGAGCUCGUAGGCGGUUGAGUAAGUCGGGUGUGAAAACUCUGGGCUUAACCCGGAGACGCCAUCCGAUACUGCUCUGACUAGAGUUCAGGAGGGGAGUGGGGAAUUCCUAGUGUAGCGGUGAAAUGCGCAGAUAUUAGGAGGAACACCGGUGGCGAAGGCGCCACUCUGGACUGAAACUGACGCUGAGGAGCGAAAGCAUGGGUAGCAAACAGGAUUAGAUACCCCUGUAGUC